GCUCACAUAGUACAGAGGUAGUACACG
rnacentral:tRNA from 1 species